UACGUAGGGGGCAAGCGUUGUCCGGAUUUACUGGGCGUAAAGAGCGUGUAGGCUGCCAAACAGGUCCGUUGUGAAAACUGGAGGCUCAACUUCCAGACGUCGACGGAAACCGUGUGGCUAGAGUCCGGAAGAGGAGAGUGGAAUUCCUGGUGUAGCGGUGAAAUGCGCAGAUAUCAGGAAGAACACCAAUGGCGAAGGCAGCUCUCUGGGACGGUACUGACGCUGAGACGCGAAAGCGUGGGGAGCGAACAGG
rnacentral:rRNA from 1 species